ACUUCCUGGCUGCCUUGGUGGCUAGCUGCUUCCUUGGGGCUUUUACUCCCGUGGAUUUUUUGGUGUUUGCUUUGUGCGAGCCAUUGAAAUAAGUAAGUUAGGAAAAUAUUAGUUUUGUAAUCACUUUCAAUUUUUUUAUUUAAAUUUAUCCCGAUCUCAUGAUAUAUAUAUAUAUGAUAUAGAUCAUCAGAUUUUCAUGUUAUUUUUAAUAUAAGUUUUUUUAUAAUUUUUUUGUUUGUAUUUGAUUUUUCAAGAUAUUAAUCCAAUUCAUCUUUAAUUUUUUUUUGUUUUAUACAAGUGAAUUUUAUUUUAAAAAUAAAAAAUAUUUAUUUUUAAAUAAUAUUAUUGAUUUAUUGGGCCUUGCAUAGUAUUUUUUUUUUAAAUGUGAAUUUAUUCAAUUAGUUUUAUUUAUAUUUAUUUUUUAGAUCAUGAAAGUUUUAAAUUAUAAAUUUAUUUUUAAUUAAUUUUAAUAAAUAAAUUCAGGAAAUCUUUAAGCACGUGGAAGGCAUAAAAUAGAACAAUUUCAGUUUCAAAGAGACAAUCAGAACAAAUUAUACAGUCUUCAUUGCUUGGAAUUUCCACUGAAACAAAUAUGUCAUUUAGAAGAACAAAACAAAGAAGAGAACAAGGAUUUUGGGUACGAUUAAUGCAACAUGCGGAUUAAUUCAUAUGAAAGAAUUGAAAUUGCAGAAGCUAAACUACUUGAAGUAUAGAGCAGACGGCUUGUAUGACAGUCAGAAUGAGAAGAAUAGCAGCUCCUGAAACAUAGAUGGCUGCCCAUGGGGUUCUGAAAUAUUUUUCCUUCCGCUUGUUCCAUGGCCUUUCGCAGAAUGCAUUCAGAUCUUUAAUGAGACUUUUAAAGAGAAAAUCAUUAUAUUUUGUUUGUUGAGAUUGUAAAAGAGUUGUACCACUUCCUCAUUAGACGGUAGCCAGUUAUCUACAAUACGAUAAAAAACAAGUAUUUCCACAUCCUUGCUGGCACCGAGAAAGAGACCCAUCAAACUGAUAUAGUCACUAACAUAACGACAUUUCAUGCCAUGGCACUGCUCAAAGGCUUGCAAAUUCCUGAUUAUGAUUUCUGAGCUGUCAACUAACUUUAAUCGUGGAAUUUCUAGUCUCCCUUUACUUCUAUCGAAUUUUAUGUCAAUAAGAUGUUUGCUUGAACUCAACACAAACUUGACCCCCGCUUGGUGGAGCUCCUUUACACUGGGUACGGUUAGAACCUCAAGUUCCGCAUCCCUGUUUCUGUUCUUGGCCGAUGAUAAAUUGAAAGAAAGUCAACCAAAUGUUUGACUUCGGAGAAAUCUACUUUCUCCAAAAUGUCCCCUACUGCCCAUGAGCCGAAUGAAACUGUAAAGAACCCGUGAGUAAGCUCAAUCAGUGUAGGUUUUGGAGAAUUUCCGAAAAUAGUGGAUAGUCUAUACAACUCCUCGAGGAUGAAGAACGGGAGCUGAUUUUCAAGCAAACAGAUAUCAACCCUUACUUCUACACUCUUGUAUGGAGGAUAGAAAAUGCUGUCUCUGCUUCCCUCUGAAGUCUGUGUACUUGCACUUCAGCAAAAACAUAAUGACGAAGGCAGCAUCCAGUAAUAUCAUUUUUAUGAAGUAUUCGCUACAAAACGCAAUGGUUUCGGCAUAGCAAUUACGCAAUCUUGUUUCGUUCUUCUUAAUCAAUUCAAUAAAACCCUCCACACUUACCUCGGUCCGGGCAAGGAAUUGUUGCAGGUACAUUCUUUUGUGGUCUUCCAUGGCUUUUAGCAUAUCUUUACCGUGGUGAAUUGGGCCUAUGGAGACUACACGAGGUGUGUAGGCCUUUUCGUUCAACUCGCGUAAUCGCUCAGGAACUUUAUAUAUACAACAUGUGCCGGAGAAAGCAUGUGGGAUUUCCAGCUCGUUCUUCACGGAUUGGAUUAAUCCAUCAAUAUCAAGCGAAACAUCAUCUAUACAUGUGCCGGAGAAAGCACGUGGGAUCUUUAGCUCUUCAUUCAUAGGUGGCUCUGAGGAGAAUGAUUUAGUUGCGAAGAAGGAUCUACCCUGAGGAUUAGUGCUUGAUGAUCCUCCAGAUUGCAUCCUGUGACUGAACUGAGAUGAUGGCUAGUAUUAGAACAAAACAAGCAGACCAAAAAAAUUGUUACCACUGAGAAAACAAAUUCAUUUACGAAACCCAAAAAAGAGAUGAAACUUACAGCCUUAAGUUUGCCUUCACUAGCAACAAUUUAACCAGUAAUAUAUGCAUGUAUGUAUGUGGGACCACUUGAGUGAUACAAAAUAAGUGAUGUAUUUAUAAAGGAAAACACCGCAGAUUGAUGUACUGUUGGGUACGGGAUAAAUUUUUUCUCCGGUAACAUAGUUAAGGAGAUCUUACCCGAUGAGCAAAGCUUCAAAUUGAGCGUGCCAUUGAAAAAUGUAGAGGAAGUGAGUUUAUUAUUUAUCUGAGAUGUGAUGUUGAGAGCAAUUAGGAGUAUUUCAAUUGGAUAAGAUGGAGUUGAGAUUGGAUUAUGGGUGUGAGCGAUCGAAUUCUCGUUAGAGAUUUCUUGCUCCGAUACCAUGAUUAAGAUAGAAUAGUUUAGAGAUUUGUAAUGCCGUUGAUAAUUUUCAGAAUAAUAUUUUUCCACACUUUGAAUAAUACAACUGUUAACAUAUAUAAACACAUGAUUGCAUGUUUUAAUUUAGAAACAAAGCUAAGAUUAGUCUAGCAUUUACACUAAGGAUUGUUUGCUGUUACAAGCUUGAUAUUAGGCUUGGACAACGGUUGCACGAUUCUGUGCAAGAGGCAAGGGAUCAUGUUCUUUGUUGUAACCCAUUUUUGGAUUCACCAAGUUUUUCUUGAAUGUUAUUUUAUUUCUAUUAUUAUUUAUAAAAAUCCAAAAAAUAAAAAAAGUUUAAAAUUCAAAAGAAUAUUUUUUUCUCGAGUCAACCACAUCUUUCCAUCAAAACCGAGUUCACCGGGUCGAUACGGGUCUAACCAUGUCGACCGGGAUGAAAAAUGAGUUUCAGGUCAUUUUGGGUCAAAACUGUUAUUUUGUGGUCAAAACCCGGUUCACCGGGUUGAUACCCACUGAAAGUUUUUUGUGUUUCGACAUAAUUUUCGGUAAUUAAAAUUGAUUUUUAGCGGUUGAGUCGGGCUUUUUCUAAUACUGAUUUGAGUUUUAAUUUUACCUAUAUAAUAUUAUUAUUAUAUAUAAUAAAACAAUUUUUUUUUUGUCAUAUUAGGCAUGUUAGGCAGGGUUUUUUUCUUACAAUUAGGCAACAAUUUAGGCAGAAAUCAACUCUUAUGUUACUGUUCACUGGCUAUAAAUAGCCGGUGACAAUCACUGAAGAAGGGAAGAAAGGGAGGAGGAGAAGAAGAAGGAGAGGAGAGAAGAGAAGGGAGAGACAGAGAGAAGAAAGCAGAAGAAGAAGAAGCAGAGAAGAGAGUCCCACCGCAGGUAGCCUUUCCCAUCGUUUUUGUUCUGCAUGCAGAUGAAGAUUAAUUAGCGAGUUACUGUGCUGUGCACAGUAACUCGCUAAUUAAUUCACGGUUACUGUGCAUGUGCACAGUAACCCGCAGAUUAAUUCUCUGGUUACUGUACACACAGUAACCCGGUUACUAUGUGCACAGUAACCAGCCCAUUCUUUGGGCCAGGUUCGGCCCAACCCAUAUAUUUGGGCCUGAUCCGGCCCAUUUCAAAGAAAAAAAUCAAAAAAUAUUUGUUUCAGCAUUUUAUAAUUUUUCCGCGUAAUUUUUAUGUCAUUUUGAUUAAUAUUUGGUGGUAUUUUUUUAUGUUGUUAAAAAUACAAAAAUCUGAUUUUUAAAUACCCGGUUUUCGUCAAAAAAAACUUCCACAAAAUACAAAAAAAUUAAAAAAAAAAAAAAAUGUUUUUGUGCAUACGGCCAAGUGUCUCAAAGCUAAAAAUUCAUAUUGUAUUUUUUCAUACACCAAAAAAAAUUUUUUAGCAUGCAUUUUGGCUUUAAUAACCAGUUUAUUAAAGUCAAGAGAAUAUUGGCCAAUAUUUCAAAAACAACAAAAAUUUUAUUUUGUUUGUCUCUUAGUAUCCGGGGUAUGACUUUACACGUAAUGCAUAUUCCGGAUAUUUAAUUCUUUUUUUUUUGGACAAUAGAACCUGGGGUAUGACAUUACAUGUAAUGCGUAUUCCGAACAAUAAAAAACCACAACGCGACCUUGGAUUUUAUCAGACAUUAAAACAAUGCAGCUUACCUUAGGUAGGGCGUAGUUGGGGUGCUAAUACCUUCCCUUUACGCAACCAGUCUCCGUACCCGAUCUCUAAAGACCAGUUAAGGUUCCUAGUAACCAAAAUACUAGGUGGCGACUCCCUGUCCAUUUUUAGCUUAGAGACAAAGAACUCCUUGUCUCACCAUAUUUUCCAUGCCAAAUAGACAACAUACCACACCCUCAUGAAGGGUUGGGGGUGGACGAUCGCCACACCGUCGUACACGUGCGACAUUCUUGAUCUGUGGUGAUUUCCUUUAUAGUGUUAAAUUUCUUUAAUUAAAAUUAUUGAUAAUGUGCCUUGUAUAGUUCCACAUUAUUUGUAUCAAAUGAUAAAAAUUAAUUACCAAAAUAAAUCAUUAUUAUAUAUUGUCUCAUAAGAAAUUUGCUUACUAAGUUUUAUUUUUGUGAAAAGAAUUCUAAGAGUUUGUCAUUAGAAAAAAUGAUACUUUAUCAUCACAAAAAAAGUAUGAUAAAGAAAUGUGCAAAUAAUGUUGAUAAUUCUUAUUUUUCACACAAUAUUAUUUAGAACAAUAAAAAACAUAAUGUCAAUCAUAAAAAGCCCGUUGGAUAGAAACUUACAUACCUAAAAGCUCUCGACAACCGACAGUUUUAGAACUUUUGCUCUGCCUCUAGUGUCCAAAGAGAUGUGCCAAGAAUGGUAGACUCUCCCUCUUUAAUAGACAUUCCAAAAGGUUUUAUUUCUCCAAUGGCAAGCAAAGGAUCCUCUUAGAUAAUAAUUAGCUUUAUUCUAUAAUAUUUAUGAUGUAGCAGGGUUUGUAAAAGUAUCGGGUUAUAAGUAAUUAUAUGAGACCUUGUUCUCGAUAAAAUAUGAAUGACCUAAUAUAUAAUUUUACGGACCGAAAAAACAAAUAUAAAUUAAAAAAAAAUCGUCAUGCAAGACCAUAAUAACAACUUAAAAUAGUAAUAAUUAGAGAUCAUAAUAACUAGAUGUAACCAUUAAAUUGAGUUUAAAUUUUUACAAAAGAUUACACAAUCUAUUUUCUUAUAAAAAACCACUUUGUUACUUGUCAGACAGUUGGAUCUCCUGUAAUAUUCAAACUAGUUUCAGCGAUCCACAAAAUGAAGAUCAAUAGACCAGGCUAUGUAAUCCGAGGGAAAGGAAAGCUAAUUCUGGACGAGAUAAUAUUUAAGCAUUUAACAUUGAUGCUGAAACGGCAUAAAGCGAAUGCUUCAAAGGUGGAAGCAUUUUCUACAAUGGCUUCAAGGCAUUCCAAUACUUAUUGUCGCACCCCAAAAAAAUCCAAUCAAUGCGGGUUCGACUGGCGAAUUUUUUUAUUAUUUGGUUUGAUUUGGUUUGGUUCUUUGGAGUCGCCACCUAGUAUUUUGGUCACUAGGAACCCUAACUGGUCUCAGAGAUCGGGUACGGAGACUGGUUGCAUAAAGGGAAGGUAUUAACACCCCAAAUACGCCCUACGUAAGGUAAGCUGCAUUGUUUUAUUGUUUAAAAAAAAACUAAGGUGUUAUUGUGUUUUCCUAGUUGUUGGUCUGUCUAUGGUUCAAGAAAAAUCCUCCUCGGUAAGGAGAUCUUUAUCUUAUCAGGUAAAAAUCCUAACCGUUCUAACGUCCAUACCAAAAUUUUAUUAAUAAUAUUUAGGAAUACGUUUUACGUAUAAAUUCGUAAUCCCAAAUACUAAAAGAAAACAAAAAAGAUUUUUUUAGAAUUUUUGAAAUAUUGGCCUAGUUCUCAUGGCUUGAAUAAACUGGUUAUUAAAGCCAAAGUGCAUGCUAAUACAUAUAUUGUUUUGAAAAUUUUCUUUGUUGAGUGAAAAUAUGAUGUUAUAAUAUUUAUAUAUAUAUUGGAGAGACUAGGCCGUAUUUUAAAACAAAAACAAUUUUUGGAAAAUAUUAUUUUUUUUAUGCUUUGACGAAAAUCGGGUAUUUUAAUACUGAGCUUGUAUCCUUACGGUAUAAAAAUACAACCCAAUAUUAAUCCUCUUUGCUAAAAAUAUGCAGAAAAAUCAACAAUAUUUUUUUGGGACUUUUUAGAAUUUUUUUGAAAGCAAAAACAUUUUUUAUUCUGAAAAAUCUUUGAUGUUUUGACGAAAACCGGGUAUUUUUAACACUGGUUUUGUAUCUUUACAGUAUAAAAAUACAAACCAACAUUAAACCACUUUGACUGUUCACUUUAACCAACAUUAAACCGGAAAUGUGCACCUGGCGUGGAGGCGAUCGCUGGUGGAGCUGUGGUGUCGCUGCGGUGUCGCGGCCUCGAGGACGGUGGCGCUGUGACUGUUCCCUCUCUCUCGUUGGUUCUCUCUCUCUUCGGUCUCCUCUCUCUCUCCUCCCUUCGGUUUUUUUUUUUUUUUCUGUUUUCGGUUUCGUUGUUUCUUGCUUUCGAUUUGUUUCUCUUCUCCCCUCUCCUUCGUGCGUUAUUUCUCUUCUCCCUCUAUCCUCGGGUGCCUCUCUCUCUCUCGGCCUCUCUCUAUUUAUAAGCAAAAAAGGAAACAGCGUGCCUUUUGUUAGUGCGCCUUCAAUCACGCAACGGCUGGUCGGCCAUUGAUGCUUUCGGUGGUGGUGGUGGGGGCGAGGAGAGAGAGGCGGGAAGUUUUGAAAAAAACAAAAAUGGUUUUCGUCCUGUUUCUGUUUAUUCGGGGGGGAAGGGGGAAGAUGAACAGUGUCGUUCAAAACGACACCGUUCUGAUCUUCCCUUUUUUUUUUUUUUUUAUAUGAAACGGCGUCGUUUUGGAUAAAACGCGCCGUUUCAUUUAAAUGGGUCAAACUUCAAAUCAGUCCUCCAAAUUCGGUCCCCGCCCCUCUUGUUGGCCGCCUUUUUCACUUUGGUCCUUGGUCUCUGAUUUAUGCAAUUUAGCCCUCAAUUGAUUAAUAAACUUUCAAUUUCUUCAAUUAGGCCCCUGAACCGAAAAAUUGCAGCCCCUCCAUUUACGCGCCUCUUCCAAUUUGGUCCCUGGUUUCGGAUUUUCUUAAUUAAAUCCCUAAUUGGCCCUUAAACUUCAAUAUUUAUGCAAUUAAGCCCCUGAUUUGACCCAAUAAAUUCCUAAAAAAUAUAUUUUGGCCCCAGAACUUAAAUUUCUUCAAAUUAAAGCCCAAAUUGACUUAAAAAUCAAUUUUUCUUGCAAUCAAAUCUUCUAUAAAUUCAAAUAAAAAUCCAAUUAAAUCCAUAAACAUCCAAUUAAGUUCAUAAAAAUCCAAUUAAGUCCAUAAAAAUCCAAAUUCGGGCUUUUCUCCUUAAAAUAAAAUUUUCCUUCUCAAUAGGGCUUUCAUCCUUCAAGAAUAUACUGUCAAAAAUUCAAUCCUUGUAUUUUUAAAUUCCUUGACCAAUUUUCGAACUGUUUUCCGAGCGCUUCUGCCUCCUGUUAUUUUCCUAACUUCUUUUGGCUAUUUAUUUUAUUUUUCAGGGGGACCCAAAAAUGGGUUACAACACUUAUAAUGGUUUGCACGUUAACAAUAUUCUAUUAUAAACCUCCUUUGAAGUAUAGCAUAAAGCAAAUGCUUCAAAGGUAGAGCAUGGCUAGAUCCCUGGCUCGUGUUGCAUGGCAAGUCAGAUCAUUUAUUUUACGUGAAUUUUGUUAUGUGAAAUAGCCACGCCUCUUUUUUUUUGUUGUUGUUGUUAAUUUAUUAAAAAUUUUGUGAUGUUUUGCCAUCAAGAAAUACAGCAGGUAAAUUUAAGAAGCUAAAAAUGACUAAACAACUGAUCAUAGGAGACCUGAACAACUUGAAUGAUAGAGCACGCAGUUUGUAUCUCAGUGAGCAUGAGGAGAAUAGCAGCAGCGAUAACAGAUAUUAUGGCCCAUUAAUGAGACUGUCUUCAAGAUUAGAGACCUUGAAAAGUCUCUAGCUUUUGCUGAGAGGAGGGAGAGAUUUCUUGGACUAACUUCCCUGGGCAACCCAGCCCACUAGUGAGAUUUCUUUAAAUUUUUGUUUUUGUUAAAAUUUAAUAUAUUUUGUAUUAUUUUAAUAUACUAAUAUCAAAAAUAAUUUUUAAAAAAAUAAAAAAAAUCAUUGACAUGAAUUUUAGCAAGAAAAAUUAUUUGCAAAAUAAUCACAACCACCCAACCAAACAAGUUCUAAAACUUGUCAAUAUUAUAAGUUAUUUCUAUAACACCAAUUUAAGAUUUUGAAAAUAAUAUUUCACAUCAUAAGUUUAAUUCUCCAUCCAAAAAUUUUGACUUUAGAUUUUGUUUUAAAAAAUAAAUAUAAGAUUUUAAAUUUUCGGUAAAAAACAAUAUAAAAAAUAACACAGUAAAAACAAUAAAGAUCUGAGCAUGUAUAUUAAUCAACAUAUUAACACUUUGCAGUCUUGACCCCAAAUUAGCUAAUCCAUUCAUUGAUUAUAAAUAUUGCAUCUGCUAAGAUUAAAAUUCAAAUUAGGCAAUGAACCAAACCCAAAAUGCUCAAUCAGCUAAACGAAAGGGAUCUCAGCAGCUAUUGCUCAUCCAACUUCACUAAGCCCUCUCUCCUCUUAUCCUACGGGCUAACUGGAUAUCUUUAGGCAUAAUGGUGACCCUCUUAGCAUGAAUAGCACACAAGUUUGUAUCCUCAAACAACCCAACAAGAUAUGCCUCUACUGCCUCUUGAAGGGCUGCUACGGCACUGCUUUGGAACCUCAAGUCUGUCUUGAAAUCCUGGGCUAUUUCCCUCACCAGCCUUUGAAAUGGCAGUUUCCUUAUUAACAGCUCAGUGCUCUUCUGGUACUUCCUGAUUUCCCUCAGCGCCACUGUUCCUGGCCUGAAACGGUGGGGCUUCUUCACCCCUCCGGUGGCUGGAGCUGACUUCCUGGCUGCCUUGGUGGCUAGCUGCUUCCUGGGGGCUUUUCCUCCCGUGGAUUUUCUUGCUGUUUGCUUUGUGCGAGCCAUUGAAAUAAGUAAGUUGGGAAAAUGGGGUUUCGAGUUUCUUUUUGUUACUCGAGAAAAUGAGGGAAAGUAAGGUUUUUGAGUGUUUUUGGUGGUAGGGAUAGGAGGUUCUGACGAUUUUUACAAGGCAAGGGAGAGAGGUGGUGGAUGAAGGAAGGAGACAGUGAAAUGGGAUUUGAUCAGCCGUUGAUCGGUAAGCCAAUGGACAGUUGUGAUGGAGAUCCGAGAGCGCGUGAAGCGGCCAAUAGGAUUGCUUCUCUCAGGCGGGCUCGUUAUUCAUCUUUUGGAGCUCCUGACCUUUUCGCUUUUGGAUUUAUUUGAAAGGAUCCGCGGUUGUGAAUGUUUCAUCUGCGUGCUCUGUUGAGUGACGAAUAGAAAUGCUUUAUUUGCUUUCUUUUUAGAGAUUUUGGGAGAUUAAAUAUGGACCGUUGAUUUGCUAUUGAACUGACUUGAAUGUCGUCAUAGAUUAAUCUAUAUGAGAAACCACAGGUAGGUUAACUAUAUAAAUUAUAAAUAACAACAACAACAACAACAAUAACAAUAAUAAUAAGAUAAAGAGAGCUUUGGGAUGUGAUAUUGAUGUAAGGAUUAAACAAGCAUAAAAUAAUUGUCAAGGUUAGAGGAUCCACUAAUGGUACUUCAAACAAGUAUAAUAUAAACUCUUUUUAUUACUCAACUGGAAACCACAUACAAAGAAGGUUCCAAUCGGAUUAUAAAUUGUUAACAUGAUUACAUUAGUUAUCUUAUUCGAAUAAAGCUAAUACUUGUAAAUGUUGGCAGGCAUUCAUGAUUAUAACUUAUGUUAACAACAAAUCAAGUUCCUUUCAUAGCUCAGGUGUCGGUUAUACCAUACAGUAUGGGCUAUGAAAGUGCCAAGUAUUUGUUGUACCAAGUGUUAUACAACAUAAAUCUAGAUUAACCAUUUAACAAGCAAAGUAUUAAAAGUGAACAAGAUAACAAAUAUAAAACAUGUUAGUAUCCAACAUUAAGGUCCAUGUUAAGUUUAUAUUAUACUUAUUCUUACACCAUUAGUGUACCCUUUUCACCUUGACAUAAUUAACUUAGCUAAACAUAAUGAAAGAAAGAAACAUAAAUGAACAAGAUAAGAACAUAAAUGAGAAAGAAGUUAACUAAGUAAAGGAAAGGAAAUGAAGUGCAUAAACUUGAUAUUAAUGAAAGCAAAACAUAAGCAAUACAAAGAGAGAAAGCAAGAGCAUGAUCUUGAUCUGGAAACCAAGAUGCCUCAAUACAUGGUAAGUGCCUCCUUUUAUAGGCCAAAAUUUGGAACUAUUGAUUUGUUGACUAAUUGAUGAGUGGGUGGCCACAUCUUGACUUGGUGACAAUCCUUAUCUUCUUGUCUGAACAAGACGUCAUUGCUAACAUCAUAAUUUGCCCAGAAUCCUCAGAAUGUUCUAGGAAAUUGUCUCAGCUUUCCAACAAAAAAAAGAUGAGGUCAUUUGGACUUCUAGAACUCAAGAUAUGGGCUGAACACUAAAUAGUGUCUGGGCUGCAGGACAGCUUCGGACUUCUUCGUUGUUCCUUAAUUUGGACUUGAAAACGGCCUUUUAAUCUUGGUGUCCAUGAAAGUUGUAGGCCUAUGUUUACCUUUCUAUCCAUAUAAAAUGGACCUAAAUCCGAGAUCUAGAGCUCCAGAUAUGAUCCAAUUACCGAGCAAUGUUCUGGUUUGGACUGCACCAACAUCUCUUUUCUAAGUUUGGCCAUCUCUUUGUCCUUUCACUUUCAAUGCUUAAACUCAUCAAUCAAUCCUUUUAUUUAUGUGAUAGUCCUGCAUUUAAGAUGAACAUUUACCAUAAAUUAAGGCAUCUUAUAGUAUCAAACUUGUUAUUAUAAAACAUGCUUUAGUUAAGGAGUUAUUGAUACUUCAAGUGCAAAAUGAUGAUAUAAAACCUUGAUAAACAUGUACUUUUAAGUACUAAUCAGUUGGUAAAUAUUACGUAACUAUAAAAUAAAUUUGGAUCAAUAUUUUUAUUCCUGCCUUUGGCAUCAGUGAAUAAACAAAUAAAAUAAAUUUAUUUUUAUGCAUGCACAUAUUUUUUAUUUUUCUAACUAAAUAAAAUAAAAUACAAUGAAUAAAAAUAAUAUAAAUUUAAACCGGUAUUUUUAUUCCUGACUCUAACGUCAGUAAAUAAACUAAAAAAUUUAUUUUAUUUUUAUUCAUGCAUAUAUAUUUUUUUAUUUUUUUUAUUUUUUUGGGCUGGGCUAGACCGGCUGGGUAACAGAGGACACGCGUGAUGUAAUAAUCAGGCGGAGAAAUUAACUGCAUUGAGUUAAUCUCAAAAUGAACAGUAAAUCGUGAAUUAAAAUGAAAUGCAGAGAACGAAAGUUUACUUACCUGGUAACUUUGAAAAAGAAAACGUAAGGGAAGACUAGCCUGCUGACCGCUUUUCUCCUUCUUUCUUCUUCAUUCUUAUUAUUCUGUGAAUGGUUGUAUCCCUUUCUUUUGCUCUCGGUUCUCUCUCAGCUUUCCAUCCCCUGUCUUUGUUUUUCGUCUCUGCUGGAAAUGGAGAAGGCAGUGGUCUCUUUUCCUCCGUGGCCUUCUCUGGCUUUUAUAAAGCCAGAGGACAACCUCUGUUUCUUUGAGAAGAAACAGAGGAACGAAAGUCUGGCUUCUCUUGGUUCCCCCCCGCUCAGGACGAAGAAGAUGGUAAUAAAGGCAUGAUGUGAUGCUGGUUGAACGGAAGCUCAGGACCAAUUAAACCUCUGAUUGGAUUAGUUAAAUUAAUUACAAGCUCAAUUAAGUCUCAAAAUUAUCAAUUCUUCAAUUAAGCCCUUGAUUGGAUUAAUUAAACUAGUCAAGAGUUUAAUUAAAUCUUUAAACUUCCAAUCAUGUUGCCCUUAAUCCAAAUUUUAAUUCAUUCUUCAUUUAUUUUAUUUUUACUUGUUUUUUCAUCAUUUUUUAUUAAAUAAAAUAAUAAUAAGGUCAAAAAUUGGGUUAUGACAAUGAUGACUUAACUAAACUUGGUCAAAAUAAUUGUUGAAUCAAUUAGAGUUGACUGAGUAUAUAACUUUUCUAGUUUAAAUUUGAGCCUCAUUUGUUUACUGGAAAGUAGUUUUUUUUUUUGGAAAGUGAAUUAUUUUCUGAUGUUUAGUAGUGUAAUGAAAAAUAAGUUGGAAAAUAUUUUCCAGUGUUUGGUUAUGUCAUGGAAAAUGAGCUGGAAAAUAACUUAUUAAUGUUUUAUUUUUCUCAAGUUUAUUAAAAUAAUGAGGAACAAAUUUUACAAAUUAAAAAGUUGAAUGAGAAUGAAAUUGCAAAAAAACAAAUUCAUAAAUUAUCUUAAAUAAAAUAAAUAAUAAUUAAAAUAAUAGAGAUCAAAUCUAAAAAAUAAAAAAAUAAUAAAAGAUGAAGAAAUUAUAAUAAUAAUAAUAAUUAACAUUUCAUAAAUUAUUUCAAAUAAAAUAAGUAACAAUUAAAAGAAUAAGGAUCAAAUUUGAUAGAUAAAAAAUUUCAAAAAAAUAUUCAAAACAAAAUAUAUAUAGCAAUCAAAAGUUUGAGGACCAAAUUUGAUAUAAUCAGCAAAUAAUAUGACAUUUCUAAUUUUUUUACAACUUCCGGAAAGUGUUUUCCGUCCAAAUUUUCUAGGAAAAUACUUUCCUAAAAACCAAGUCAAAUUUUCUUUUGAUUGGAAAGUAUUUUUCGUUGACCAACUUUCCUAAUAGCAAACAAACACAAGAAAGUUUGGAAAGUGGUUUCUCGAAAAUCACUUUUCAGGAAACAAACAAGGCUUGAGUUCUUUUUUAGUCUUGAAAUAAUCCAUAAGAUUACGUUUAUAUCAAAAUCAAAAGGAAUGUAUAACCAAAAAGAAACAUGACUUAAAUUUUAUUGUCCAAGUAAUCUUCUAUCAAAGAACUAUAUCAACCCAAUAGCUUAAGCUUUUAAGUGAGGUUCCAGAAUAUGAUUUAUAUUAUUCUCUAAUACACCAUUUAAAGUGAAAGCUUUUUGGGCUUGCAAUUUGCACAGGCCCACAUUAUCUUGUGCUUAAUUUUUAUCAAAUAAAUGGGGAUAGUGAGAUUCGAACUCGUGACCAUAGUUUUGAAACCCGACCCGGUCAUUGACCCGAUCGACCCUCUGGGUCACGGGUCAGAUGGGUUGACCCGGGUUAGCCCGGGUCAACCCAAAAAAACCUAUAUUAAAAAAAAAAUUCACAUUUCACAGCAAACGAACAGGGACAACAAUAUUCACAGCAAUAUUCACAUUUCACAGCAAACGAAAUAUUCACGAAUCACGAUUGACCAUUUGAAGUCGCAGGAAAAAAAAAAAAAGAACAGAGAGGCUGAGAUACAUACCUGUGGGAAGAACCGGUGGGUCAAUCGAUGGGUCAACAGAGGGAAGAACUGAUGGAUCAACAAACUGAACGGAGGGAAGAAUCGAUGCCACUAUUAUACUCUCCUGCAAGUUCAACAGAAGAAAGAAGAUGAAACAGAGGAAUGGAUAACGAAAGGCGAAAGAAGAAAGAAACAAGUAAAAACUCAUCUCACUUUAUGCUCAUAAUUGAAACGGCGAUCAAGAGUCUUCUGCUCUUCUUCGCGACUGAGAGUGAAAUGGGUUUGACAAUUUCUAAAUUAGGUCUUCUUCAGUUCUUCUCACUUCUGCUGGUCUGCAACACUGCAAUGCAUUCGUCUCUCUGGCCUCUGCUAUUGUCGUUUUGGUCUUUUAAUUGUAAAAGGCCAAAACGACGUCGUUUCAGGCAUGGGGGUAUAAAAAAAAAUAAACCCGGGUCUCAGCCGGGUUUGGCCGGGCCGGCCGGGUCCUGGGUCGACCGAGUCUGGCCGGGCCAAUUCCCAGCCUGUUUUUGAAUUAGACCCAGCCCGGCCACAGGCCCGGGUCGGCCGGGUCCCGGGUCGGGCCGGGUCUUAAAACACUACUCGUGACCGCUUGGUCAUCAAGGCUCUGAUGUCAUGUCAAAGAACCAUCUCAACCCAAUAACUUAAGCUUUUAGGUGAAGUCCUAGAAUAUGAUUUAUAUUAUUCUCUAAUAUCUUCCACUUGUACUACCUCAUUCUGAAAUUUCUAAUCAAAGCCUAUAUAUAUAUAUAUAUGUAUAUGUAAAUGAAAUCAAAGGAAAUUCUUGACUUGUAUAUUUUCUUUAUACACAGCAAUCACCAAGGAAAUGCCAAGGAAGAAGCACAAUGAAGAUGAUAGAUUGAACCAGAGAACAUAGUCCAAUUAGGAGGAGUAUACAGAGACUCCAUGAGCUUCUAGUUCAUGUUUUCCAUAGCUAUAUAGCCAUAUAUAUCCUAUAAAUUAGUAGCUGCUUGAAAUACUGCCCAUCACACAAAGAAUUCCUGAUAUGGUCACUCGUUCAUGGCGUCGGCGAAGCUAAGAAAAUCUAAGAACAUGUAUUGCUAAGAAAAUGAUUGCCUCUGGCUUUUGAUUAACGAUUCAGAAAAUUCAUUGAGAGAUUUUUUUCCAUGAAAUGUUAUGGAGAAUAAUUAGUUUUGGGCAACCAUCAAAUGAGUACCCAACUAUGAAUUGAUUAUCAAUGUUGUCUACAAACUAUCGAGUUUUUCUCAUUAAAUACCCAACAUAUCAUACCUUUGGAAAGCAUCAAAUUAUAUGUAUGUAACUUGAUGCUUUGAAUCCAAAAUUAAGAACAUUAUAAACCAUUGAUGUCGUAAAGCGAGUAUGGGAAAAAAAACCAGCUGCUACAACAGAGAUUGUAGUCCACGGAUUAUGGAAAAACCAGCUGCAGUACUUGUUCAGAUAUUUUAACUACACCAGAAAGUGCCAAAAGCAGAAGAUAGAAAUUAUAAGGCAACAGUAAGUGGGGGGAAAUGUAGCUACUUUAAUGACAUGAGUAAACUGAAACAGCAAAAAUUGAUUGCAUUUUAUUUUUUGCUAAUCAUAUAGCAGAGAAAGCAAGAUAGGGAGGAAAUAUCGAUGAGUUAUUGAAGAACGUAUAUAGAAAUUUCAUGGGAAGAGAUAACAGAAUACACAGUUAAUUUACAGAAAACAACUGAAAUAGCAUAAUCAAACAACUUGAAUGAUCGAACACACUGUCUGUAUGAUAGUGAGUACGACUAGAACAGCAGCUGCUACAACAGAGAUUAGAGUCCAUGGAUUACGGAAAUAUUUCUGCUUCAAGGCUGCCUUCCAUUUGUGUACCCGCUUACUGUAGUACUCGUUCAGAUCUUCAACUACACCAGAAAAGUAGAAAUUGUUGACGUUGAUAACAUUUUCCUUGGAAAGAUUGCAAAAAAGGCGUGAAACUGCAUCAUUAUCAUGGAGCCAAUUUUCUAUAAUUCCUUUUUUAACAAGUAUUUCCACGUCCUUGGCAUCGGGGACAAGCAAAGAGAGCAUGGUAAUAUAGUUACAUACAUAUUUAUUAGCAUCGUAAUCGCAUUGCUCAAAAGCUUGGAGAUUUCUGAAUAGGAUUUCUGUGUGAUCGCCUAUCUUUAACUGUGGGAUUUCCAACGUCCCUUUAUUAUCAUCAAAUUUUAUGAGGAGGAGGUCUAUGCUGGACCCUAACUUGAACUUGAUUCCAGCCCGAUGGAGCUCUGCUACACUUGGAGUGGUUAGAUUCGCAAGUUUCUUUGGCUUCAUCUGCUGUGCUGGCUGCUGACAGAUUCUUAGAAAGUCAACAAAAUGCUCUAAUUUAGGCAAAUUAAUUUCCUCCAAAAUUUCCUCUGACACCCAUGAUUGCCAUGCAGCAAGUAAGAACGCAUAAGUAUGCUUAAUCAUGGAAUAUCCCUCACAAUGGUGCGGUAUUUUGGAUAGAUUGAACAAGUCCUCAACAAUGAAGAAUGGAAGCUGAUUUUCAAGCAAGCACAAAUCAAUACUUAUUUCAUCUAGCAUCCAUGGUUUAUUGAAUAUGCGGUCAAUAUUUCUACUUUGGAUAUCAGGGGGAAAUGCUUUCAGAAAGAACAUAAUGAGAAAGGAGCAAUCCAACAACACCAUUUCCACAAAUUCCUCUGUACUUAGUUUAUCGAAGGUUUCUGCAUAACAACUACGCAAUCUAGUCUCGCUCUCUGCAAUAGCUGCAAUAAAAUCCUUCACCCUUACCUUGCUCAAUUCAAGAAAUUCCCUCAGGCACAGUCUCUUAUGCUCUUCCAUUUCUUUUAGCUCUUCUUUUCCGUAGUGAAGUGGGCCAAUGGAGAUUACUUGAGGUGUGUAAGCCUUUCCAUUUAACUCACGUAGUCGUUUUGGAACUCUGUAGAUGGAACACUGAUCUGAAAAGGAACGCAAGUUUUCAACUUUCCUUCCACAGACUCUGCUAAUUUGGCAAUGUCGAGAGAAACAUGAUCGCCACUAUCCAUCUGCACUCUUGAUGUUCCAGCAACGUUCAUCCUGUGCCUAGACAAUCGCUAGUAUCACAAUUACCGAAUAGUUAGAUAAAUGCUAAAAAAAAAAAUCAAGAUCAAAUUAUAGUUUGAGAAAAAAAGUGUAGGCAGGGAAACCGAAUCGUAUAUUGGUAUCUUCAAAUGAUUUAAUAUAAAAAGAUAUUUUAUGAUUAGAAAAAAGUAUGAUCAAGAAAUGUACCGAGAAUGGUAGACUCUCCCUAUUUAAUAUAAGUUCCAAAAUUAAGAUCAGCAGAUCAAGCUAUAUAACCCGAGAGAGUAAAGCUAACUCCGGAGGUAACUGCACAUUCAAUAUCUAGACCGAAACCCAGAUCAAUCUCUUCAUGAAGGAUUCAACAUUGAUGCAGAAAUGGCAUGAAAUGUUUAACGAACCUCUCUGCUCUAUCAAAUGGAUUUGCGCUUGUAGUUAAAACCAUAAAAAAGCCAUAAAAUUAUUGAUUUUUCCUGCCAUUUUCUUUGAGGAAUAUUCAGCGCUAGAAUGGUUCGAACUUAGAAUAUAAUAUUCUCAAACCUCGUUUCAAGUAUAGGAUAAAGCAAAUGCAUCAAAGGUGGAAGCAUUCUCUACAAUAGCUUUAAGGCAUUACAAUUACAGUGUUUUACAAGUUUAACAAUAUUCUAUGCAAACCUCGUUUGAAGUAUAGCAUAAAGCAAACAAUCAUGUCGGGUUGGUUGUUCGGAGCUCCAAUAUCGCAUGAAAAACCAGAUCUAAACCGACAAAGCCAAAGCUAAUCUUAUUUGAUUUUGGGUUUUUGAGCUAUUUUUUAGGUAUUUAAAAUUGAUAAAAUGAUUCUGGAGUAUUAUAAGGGUGUUGAUGAAGUGUUUUUGAGUUGAAAUGGCUGAAAAAUUGAGUUUUAGGGCCCAAAUAUCUUUGCUUUAGUUUUCUAGGCAUCGUUGUGGUGGCCAGAAUCUAGGUUUGUAGAUGACACGUUGUCUGUCCUGGCAAGCGACAUGUCGCCUAGUUUUGUUUUAAAAAAAAAAGACAGAUAAUAAGUCAUUCGUCCCUUUUAAAAUAAUAAAAUCAAGCUCAAGCCUGCGGUCCCAAGCUUGAAGGGCCCGCCAGUGCUCCUUGGCUCCUCAUUACAGUGAAAAUGAAAAGAUUUUAUUGAAUCUUCUGCUCAAAUUCUAAAUGCAACCUUAUAGCAAUUUGUGAUUUGUUGUUCCGAAGAUUCGUAAUAUUAUUAUUUUUUUUUUUUGGUAAUAUCUCAUAGCAACGUAGAGGUGUAUGAGGUGUUUGGUAUAAUUUCUGUUUUUUUUUUUAUGUUUUUUUAAAAGUGUCAUCCCACCUGACAUCGCGGCAACCCUAAAAAUAAUUUAGAUUAUAGGAAAAGAAUGGAUUUCUGGCAUUGGGUUCUUUUAAAGGAAAAUGUCUUGUUUAAGGAGUCGUUACCUCGUAUUAUGGUCACUAGAAACCCUGACUGGUCAGCAGAAAUUCUAUGGUACGGGACUGAUUACGUAGAAGGGAAGAUAUUAUCACCUCUUAAACGUCCUGCCUGAAGCAGGCUGCAUUGCUAAAUCCUGACUGGUCAGCAGAAAUUCUAUGGUACAGGACUGAUUACGUAGAAGGGAAGAUAUUAUCACCUCUUAAACGUCCUGCCUGAGGCAGGCUGCAUUGCUAGUUUUGUCUUAAAUUGCUAAAUGUUUAUUAGUUUACGCUAUGAUAAUUUACUUCUAAUAUUCCUGACUCUGGCGCCAGUGAAUGUUCAACUACGGAUACUUCCAACUCUAGCGUUGGUAAAUAUUACGUAGUACAAAAAUAAAAUAAUUUAAAUCAGUAUUAUUAUUCUUGACUCUGACGUCAGUAAAUAUUCACCUAUGAAUAUUUCCAACUCUGAUGUUGGUAAAUAUAGAGCAACCUAAAAAAAUACGGUAUUCUUGACUCUGACCCUAGUAAAUAAAUCCGCAAAAUUCUGUAUUUAAAAGAAAUAAUUUUUUUUUAUUUAUGUUGCAUGGUUUAAAAAAAAAGGUUGGGUCACUGGUCCAAACCAGUGACCCGGCUGGCCACUGUUGCAUGCAUGCGUGAAUCACUCACGCAUGCAUGCAACAGUAGCAGUGUAAUUAAUUUACCCAAAGAAGGAAAGCUGAAGAACUUACGUGGCAAGGCUGAGGGAGACGGUGUUCAAGGCUGGCGAUUCAGCUUGCUGUUCACGGCGGAGAAGAAACCUCUCACGACUGAGGAGCCGGUGGACGUUGGCCUCAAGAGCACGAUGGGGAAAAGAGGGUUACUUGUUGGCCGGACACUCUCCCCUGUUUCUUCUUAUCUUCACUGGUUCUCCUCGCCUGUUUUUUAUCCCCUGUGUUGGUUCUGGUUUUCUCCUUCGUGUCCCUUCUGUCCUUCGUUUUCGUUUCCUUUUGUUUGCGUCUAUUUGCCCUAUGUCUCCCCUAUCUGGUGUAAAAGAUGGAGAGGGCAGUGGUCCCUUUUCCUCCGUGGCCUUCUCUGGCUUUUAUAAAGCCGGAGGACGGCCUCUAUUUCUUUGAGAAGAAAUAGCGGAACGCAAGUCUGCUACCCUGGUUUCUCUCGGUUCCCCCCUGCUCAGGACGAAGGAGAUGGUAAUAAAAGCAUGACGUUCUGCCGGUUGAAAGUGAGCUCGCUCUGGUUUUUCUCCUUUUUUUUUAGUUUCUUCUUCCUCUGUUUUCUUCUUCCUAUCCUCGGUUCUGCCCCUCCCUGCCUUCCUUCUUUUUGCUGUCCCCCCUUAGAAUGCCAUGCGGUCGACCGUGCCUCUGUUUUAAUGUAGGAGUAAAGGCAGCAGUUUUUUUUUUUUUUUUCCGGGUGAAGAAGAUGAACAGUGUUGAGGUUAUUUUUCGUUUUGGUCCUUUAUGUUUUGAACGUUUUGUAAUCAAGCCCUUGGAUAAACUUUAAUUGGACCUCUGAAUUUCAUCAAACUGUACAAACCAGUCCCUGGAUUAUAAUUUCUCGCAAAUGUUACCAGAAUCAGCCCUAUACUUUGAUAAAUUUUCAAUUAAGCCCCUCAUUUCAUUAAUUAAAUUAAUACCAAUCUCAAUUAAGUCUCAAAACAUAUCAAUUCUCCAAUUAAACCCUUGAUUGGAUUAAUUAAAUUAGUUUCAAGCUUAAUUAAGUCUCAAAACUUUAUCAAUUCUCCAAUCAAACCCUUGAUUGGAUUAAUUAAAUCAAUUUCAAGCUUAAUCAAGUCUCAAAACUUAUCGAUUAUCCAAUUAAACCCUUGACUUCAUUAAUUAAACUAGUCAAGAAUUUAAUUAAAUCUUUAAACUUCCCAUCAUGUUACCUUUAAUCCAAAUUUUAGUCCACACAACUCCUCGAGCAUGAAGAACGGGAGCUGAUUUUCAAGCAAACAGAUAUCAACCCUAAAGCAUUUUAAAAGAAAGUUAAAAGGACGAUUUAUGAAUUUUUAAAAAAGUUGUUUUCACCGACAAUAUUAAGGUGUCAGUCAACUCUCAAUUAUUAUUAACUAUUUUUAGCAUAUUUAAAGACUAUAAUAAGCUCAUGUUAAUGAUUCUUUUGAGUGUAUGAAUAUAUAAAUCCUUCCAUGUGGGACAAUUGAAUAAUUGAAGUCGUAUAUUCAUCAUCCAUCUGCCCUAUCUCUGUCGAUUUCGCACUAGAAUUUCCAUGCCCGUAUUCAUUGGUGGGAAAAAUUCAAAGCUACAUGAUUUCUCAAAGUUUUUUUAUAGGAUAAAAUAAAAUAUUAAUAGUGUAUUUCUCAAAGUUUUUUAAUCACCUUUCAUUUUUUUAAAAAAAAAAUUAUCAUAAUCUUAUAACAUAGAUCACCAGUUUUGCAUGCUAUUUUUAAAAUUGUUUUAUUUGUGUUUAAUUUUUCAAGAUAUUAUUCUAUUUUAUUUUUAUUUUUAUUUUGUUUUAUAAAAGUUAACUUUAUUUUUAAAAAUAAAAAAUAUUUAUUUUUAAAUAAUAUUAUUGAUUUGUUGAGUCUUGCAAAGUAUUUUUUAGGACGUGAAUUUAUUCAAUUAAUUUUAUUUAUAUUUAUUUUUUAUAUAAUGAGAUUUUUAAAUUAUAAAUUUAUUUUUUAUUAAUUUAAAUAAAUAAAUUCAGUAAAUCUCAUGCUAAGCAGGCCUGUAAAAAGCGUAGAACAGAAUAAAACAAUUUCAAUUUCCAAGAGACAAUCAGAACACAUUGUGCGCAUGAGCUGUAUUAAAUCCUAGAUUGAUAUGUAUUUGUGUACAUAUAGGAAUCCGAGAUUGAUUCGUAGUUGUAUAUAGAUAGGAACAAAUAACUUUCCUGCUUAUCCUCUGUAUCUUUCCUAUUUCAUCUCUGAAGUGUAACUAUAUAUAUUGCCUCCUGUGGAGAAGAAUAUAACGAAGAGAAGUAAUAUUACAGAAACCUUAUUGUUUACAUGGUAUCAGAGCAGACUCAAUUCUAUCUGCAGUAAACCAAACCGAAUACGAACCUCGAAUCCCUUCUCCUACGAAAAAAUAAUUUGUAUCAAGCUACUGUUCUUAUUCUACAAAACAGAAUCCUCUAUAUUUCUGAGACGUAACUCACAAGUUAUUUGUGCUUUCUUCUUCAUCUAGUAUUUUUUCUUCUUCUAUGGCUGCAGACAUGUCGACUUCAAUUGUUCCAACACCAACACAGCAGAUUAUUGUACAUCAAGAUAACUCUUCCUUCCCAACCGGAGUCAUCCUUGAUGAGACCAACUAUUCAUUAUGGUCUCAACUCAUGGAGAUGCGUAUAGGGGCUCGCAACAAAGCUGGAUAUCUCACGGGAGAAACAAAAAAACCAGAAGUUGGAGAUCCCAAUCUUGGAGCAUGGAUUACUGAAAAUCACAGAGUAAAAAGUUGGCUCAUUGAUGCAAUGAGUCCAGCAUUAAUGCAACGAUUUAUUCGCCUGUCUACAGCCAAAGAAAUAUGGGAGGCCGUAUCAAAAACAUUUUAUGAUGGAUCAGAUGAAACCUGUAUCUUCGAACUGAACCAAAGAUCUUUCUCUACCAAACAGAAUGGUCGCCCCUUAUCAACUUACUAUAAUGAACUUGUUGCUAUAUUUCAAGAAAUUGAUCACAAGACAAAAUCUCAGGAAGGAACAGUUGAGGGGGUACUUCAGUUACACUCUGCAAUGGCUAGACUUAGAGUUCAUAUCUUUCUGAGUGGACUUGAUUCAGAAUUCAAUCAGGUUUGUGGCGAAAUCUUGCGCAAAGAUCCAAAACUUGAUUUGGAGAACACAUACGCAUAUGUCAGGAGGGAAUACCAGCAAAGACAAACCAUGGGAAGCUAUCAUCCAAACUCUGAGAAUUUAGCUAUGCUAACCAACACUCCUCGACAAGGAUCAUCAUAUGAAUCAACCAGUAAACGAAACACUCAAUUAUCCAGAAAGGUUAACAACCUGGUCUGCGCUCAUUGUGGGGAAAAAGGUCAUUCACAACAGCGGUGCUAUGAGAUUAUUGGUAUCCCGAGUGGUGGGAUUUCUCAAAGAAACCUCGGAAAAAGAUCCCUGCAAGAGCUAUGACAACGUCUACAGAAGAAGAUCACCAGCAGCCUACAGCAAAUAUUGCUCAUCCUGGUAAAGUUGGUAAAGUAUCUGUAUUCCCUGCACAUUAUAAGGAUAAAACUUGGAUUGUUGAUACAGGUGCAUCUGAACAUAUGACGAGAGACGUUAGACAAUUACAAUCCAUACUCCCUUCUUCUCAAUCAGUUAUUUCCACAGCCAAUGGUAGUACCUCCCCUGUUACUGGGGAAGGUUCAGUUAUUUUUUCAAAUACACUCACACUCAAUACUGUCCUUGUUGUUCCCUCUCUUGAAUAUAAUCUGUUAUCUGUUAGCCAAAUUACAUUCACCCUUCAUUGUACUGUAACGUUUUGGCCCUCCUUUUGUGUCUUUCAGGACAUUCUAACGCGGAAGAUUCUUGGCUAUGGUGUUAGACGGGGCAAACUCUACUACUUGGAAUUAACAGAUAAUGGAGAAUCAAAAAUUAGUCAGGCAAAUCAUGUUAGUAGCAGAGAUAAGGCUCAGACAGUUAUAUGGCUAUGGCAUCGUAGAUUAGGACAUCUUUCUUUUGGUUAUCUAAAGAAACUACAACCAGUACUCUUUUCUGGUAUUAAUGAAUUGGAUUUUCAUUGUGAUACAUGUGAACUGGCUAAAAGUCACCGUAUCUCUUAUUCUCCAAGUUUGAAUAAAAGUUCAGAACCAUUUGAGGUCAUUCACACGGAUGUUUGGGGUCCUGCAAAGGUUCCUGCAAUUUCUAGCUCUCGUUAUUUUGUGACUUUUAUUGAUGAAUGCACGAGAAUGACUUGGGUAUCCUUACUUAUACACAAGAAUGAUGUGUGUCUAGCUUUCCAGACAUUCCAUAAAAUGAUACAAACUCAGUACCAAAAACAAAUUCGUGUGGUGCAGUCUGAUAAUGGCACCGAGUUUGUAGCUGCAUCUCUUGGGAACUUCCUGUGCAGCCAUGGAAUUCGCCAUCAGACCUCGUGCACCUAUACUCCACAACAGAAUGGAUUAGCUGAGCGGAAAAAUCGACAACUAUUAGAGGUAGUACGUGCUUCUCUUUUUGGUAUGAAUAUGCCAAAAUUUUAUUGGGGUGAGGCUGUGAAAUCUGCUACUUAUAUCAUCAACAGAACACCAUCUCGAGUCCUAGAUUUUCAAACACCCUUACAAAAGUUACAAUCCUUACUCCCAGUUCCCCAUUUCCCCAACCUUGAACCUCGAAUUUUUGGUUGUACCGUGUUUGUUCACAUCCCAAAAAUCUUACGGAACAAACUUGAUCCAUGUGCAAAACGUUGUGUAUUUGUUGGCUACUCUGAUCUUCAGAAAGGAUAUAGAUGUUAUGAUCCCCACACCCGAAAAUUCCAUGUGACAUUGGAUGCUUCCUUUCGUGAGCUCAUUCCUUAUUACUCUGGUGGAGCCUUGAGCCAUUCUCUUCAGGGGGAGAACUUCAGUAACGAGAAUGAGGAUCUGAUGGAUAAAGGAGGUGAGGAGUUUACCCAGUUAGAGGCUCUGAUGGAUAAAGUAAGUGAGGAGUCUAUCCAGUUAGAAGAGAAUGAAAACUUGAAUCCACAAGGCAGUAAUCAUAGCACUGAUGUCGAGAAUGAUUCCACACAUGAAGCUCUAGUUUUUCCUGAUGAAUCUGCACCACCAUUUGAGUUGCCCCUGUCUACACCAUUACCUGCAGAAUCAUCCACGAAUGUUCCCCCUCAGGUAAGUCAUGGGAUUAGAGAGUCUAAUGAAAUAUAUUGUCCUACAGAAAACCCCACUUCUAGAUAUCCACAAAGGAUGAAUAAGGGAAUUCCGAAAAAACAAUAUGAUCCUGAUCUUACAGUCAAAACCAAAUAUCCAAUUAAUAACUAUGUGUCCUCUCAUAGGUUGACUCGUUCAUAUGCACUUACUGUUAAUCAACUUUCCACAGUUUCUAUUCCUAGUAAUGUGCAGGAUGCAUUGGCUAAUCAAAGAUGGAGAAAGGCAAUGAAUGAAGAGAUGGAGGCUCUACAGAAAAAUGCUACGUGGGAACUAGUUCCGCUGCCCAAAGGAAUGAAGACAGUUGGAUGCAGAUGGGUGUUCACUGUGAAACUCAACCCAGAUGGUAGUAUUGACAGGUAUAAAGCUCGACUAGUCGCAAAGGGAUAUACACAAAGGUAUGGGGUAGACUAUCAGGAUACUUUUGCACCAGUAGCCAAGAUCAAUACUAUUCGUAUUCUUAUAUCUAUAGCCGCAAAUCGAGACUGGCCUCUGCAACAGUUUGAUGUUAAGAAUGCAUUUCUCAAUGGUGAUCUAGAAGAAGAAGUCUACAUGGAACUACCACCUGGAGUUAACAGCAACUUAGGCAAAGGUGAAGUCUGCAAACUAAAGAAGUCACUGUAUGGACUAAAACAGUCACCUAGAGCAUGGUUUGGGAGAUUCUCUGCUACAAUGAAGGAGUUUGGCUAUAAACAAAGUAACUCUGACCAUACUUUGUUUAUAAAACAUAACGAAGGAAGAGUAACCGUUUUAAUUGUAUAUGUGGAUGAUAUGGUCAUGACAGGAGAUGAUCCACGUGAAAUGAAAGCAUUACAGAGAUAUCUAGCUACUAAAUUUGAAAUGAAGGAUCUCGGACACCUUAAAUAUUUUUUAGGAAUUGAGGUGGCAAGGUCAAGGCAGGGAAUAUCUCUUUCACAACAAAAAUAUGUGAUAGACCUGCUAACUGAAACUGGAAUGCUUAGUUGCAAACCAGUAGAAACGCCCAUGGAGAUGAACCAUAAGCUGGGAAUUUUUCCAGAUCAGGAUCCAACAGACAAGGAUCGUUACCAGCGAUUAGUUGGAAGGCUAAUCUACUUAUCCCAUACCAGACCUGAUAUAGCAUAUGCAGUAAGUGUGGUGAGUCAGUUCAUGCAUGCACCAAGUAAAGAACAUAUGGAAGCAGUAUAUCGAAUCUUACGGUACUUAAAAGGUUCUCCAGGAAGAGGAUUGUUGUUCACAAAAAACAAUAUUCCUAACAUUGAAGGAUAUACAGACUCUGAUUGGGCAGGAGAUCAGACGACCAGAAAAUCUACUUCUGGUUAUUUUACGUUUGUAGAAGGUAAUCUUGUCACUUGGAAAAGCAAGAAACAAAAAGUAGUAGCAAGAUCAAGUGCUGAAGCUGAAUUUCGAGGGAUGGCUCAUGGUGUAUGUGAAUUGAUAUGGAUAAGGAAUAUAUUAAGGGAUCUAGGGAUUGAAUAUACUGAACCUAUGAAUCUCUUUUGUGAUAAUAAAGCAGCUAUAGCAAUCGCACAGAACCCAGUUCAACAUGAUCGCACCAAACACGUUGAGGUUGAUCGUCAUUUCAUCAAGGAGAAUCUCGAUGGAAGAAUCAUACAGUUUCCAUUUAUACAAUCUAAGAGUCAACUGGCUGAUGUACUCACAAAGGCAGUUUCAGGAAAGGCGUUUCAUGAUAUAAUUAACAAGUUGGGCAUGAUAAACAUCUAUGCACCAACUUGAGGGGGAGUGUGCGCAUGAGCUGUAUUAAAUCCUAGAUUGAUAUGUAUUUGUGUACAUAUAGGAAUCCGAGAUUGAUUCGUAGUUGUAUAUAGAUAGGAACAAAUAACUUUCCUGCUUAUCCUCUGUAUCUUUCCUAUUUCAUCUCUGAAGUGUAACUAUAUAUAUUGCCUCCUGUGGAGAAGAAUAUAACGAAGAGAAGUAAUAUUACAGAAACCUUAUUGUUUACACACAUUAUACAGUCUUCAUUGCUUGGAAUUUCUACUGAAACAACUUUGUUAUUUAGAAGAACGAAAACAAAGAAGAGAACAAGGAUUAUGGGUACAAUUAAUGCAACAUGCGGAUUAAUUCAUAUGAAAGAAUUGAAACUGCAGAAGCUAAACUACUUGAAGUAUAGAGCAGACGGCUUGUAUGACAGUCAGAAUGAGAAGACUAACAGCUGCUGAGACAGAGAUUGCUGCCCAUGGGGUAUUGAAAUAAUCUUGCUUUAAAGUCGCCUUCCACUCGUUCCAUGGCCUUCCGCAGAAUGCAUUCAGAUCUUUAAUGAGACCUUCAAAGAAAAAAUCAUCUGACCACACUAGAUUUCCUAUGUUGAGAUUGUCAAAGAGUUUUACCACUUCCUCAUUAGACGGUAGCCAGUUUUCUAUAAUACCAUUUUCAACAAGUAUUUCCACAUCCUUACUGGCACUGACAAAGAAACCCAUCAAGAAGAGAUAGUCACCAACAUAACCAUACUUCAGGCCAUGGCACUGCCCAAAGGCUUGUAUAUUCAUGAUUAUGAUUUCUGUUCUGUCUUCUAUCUUUAAUCGUGGAAUUUCUAAUGUCCCUUUAUUUCUAUCGAAUUUUAUGUCAAGAAGAUUUUUGCUUGAACCCAACACAAACUUGACCCCCGCUUGUUGGAGCUUCUUUACACUGGGUGCGGCUACUACUUCGAGUUUCUCUUUCGGGUUCUGUAACUUCUGUUUAGUUGGCUGAAGAUAAAUUGAAAGAAAGUCAACCAAAUGUUUCACUCCGGAGAUUUCUUUGUUCUCCAAAAUGUCCCCUCCUGCCCAUGAAUCCCAAUCACGUGAAAAGAACAAAUGAGUAACCUCAAUCAGUGUAGGUGUCGGAGAAUUGCGGAGUAUAGUGGAUAGUCCACACAACUCGUUGAGGAUGAAGAACGGGAGCUGAUUUUCAAGCAAACAGAUAUCAACCCUUACAUCUACCCUCUUGUAUGGAGGAUCGAAAAUGCUGUCUCUGCUACCUUUGAAUUCUGGGAAAUUGCACUUCAGCAAAAACAUAAUGACGAAGGCAGCAUCCAUUAAUAUCAUUUUUAUGAAGUCUUCGGGACUAAGCUCAAUGGUCUCCGCAUAGCAAUUACGCAAUCUUGUUUCGUUCUCCUUAAUAAAUUCAACAAAACCCUCAACACUUACCUCGCUCCGGGCAAUGAAUUCUUUCAGGUACAUUCUUUUUUGGUCUUCCAUGGCUUUUAGCUCCUCUUUGCCAUGGUGAAUUGGGCCUAUGGAGACCAAUCGAGGUGUGUAGGCCUUUUCGUUCAACUCGCGCAAUUGCUCAGGUACUUUAUAUAUACAACAUGUGUCGGAGAAAGCAUAUGAGAUUUCCAGCUCGUCCUUCAAAGAUUUGGCUAAUUUCUCGAUAUCAAGCGAAACUUGAUGACUCGGCUCAUCAUUAGUGCUUGAUUUUCCAACAGUUUCCAUCCUGUGACUGAACUGAAAUGAUAGCUAGUAUUAGAACAAAGCAAGCAGAUCAAAAAAAUUGUUACCACUGAGAAAACAAAUUCAAUUACGAGACUGCUGACCUCUGGAGGAGAUAACUUGGAAUUUCUAUUGAAAACAAGGAUUAUGGGUAUAGAGUACAGAGCAACAUGAAAGAAUUGAAAUUGCAGAAGCUAAACUACUUGAAGUAUAGAGCAGACGGCUUGUAUGACAGUCAGAAUGAGAAGAAUAACAGCUCCUGUGACUGAACUGAAAUGAUAGCUAGUAUUAGAACAAAACAAGCAGAUCAAAAAAAAUUGUUAUCACAGAGAAAACAAAUUCAAUUACGAAAGUUUUUGGUGGGUAGGGAUAGGAGGUUCCGGCGAUUUUUAUAGGGCAAGGGGAGAGGCGAGGAGGGAGGGAGGAGACAGUGAAAUGGGAUUUGAACCGUUGAUCGGUAAGCUAAUGGAAAAUUACAAGAGCGCGUUUCGCAUUACGGUUUAAAAGUGUUUUUUAAAAAAUUUAAAUUUUUUUUAUUUUAAAGUUAUAUGUUUUUUAUAUUUUUAAAUUAUUUUAAUGUGCUGAUCUCAAAAAUAAUUUUUAAAAAUAAAAUAAUAUUAUUAACAUAUUUUUCUAAAUAAAAAAUAUUUUUCAAGCAACCUCAACCCCACUUUCUAAAUAUAAUCCGAAGAGGGGAAAGGUGAAAGUAAUAGUCGUAAUUAUGAGGCAUGGUCGCAUGUGAUACAAUUGAAUAAUUGGAUUCGUAUAUUCAUCUGUCCUAUCUCUGUCGAUUUCACACUAGAAUUUCCAUGUCUAAACAGCCUUAGGUUUGCAAGCUGUCCCUUCUCUUUUGUUGUCUUGUUUAUAUUCACCUAACGUAGAGGGGAUGGUACCUGACUUCAAUGACAUGAGCCUUCACCAAAUAUAUAAUUAAUUCAUGAAAGCUCUCGUGAUAAUAAUGUUUUAGAAAGAUUUUGGAUGUGAGACAUAGAUAUAUUUUGUAUAGUGGUAUGAGAUGGCCCCAAAACAAAAAGAUCCAAUUUUAAUGCAAAACUUGUUUAAAAGUUUUGUGAAAGUUUUACUAUAUUAAUUUCUUGAUUAAACCUUUCUAUAUAAACCCUUUUUAGAUAAACUUUUACAAUAUUUUUUUUAUUAAAGGAUGUUUAUUAUAUGUAAAAUACUGUAUAAAUCUAACUAUAAAUCUAAUUUAUUCAUUAAAAAUAUUUUUACCUCAAAUAAUUCUAUAAAAUAUUUAAAAAAUAAUAAUCAAGUUUUAAUAUCAUAAAUCUUUCAACAAUCACAGGUGCUCCAAUCACUAUCAUGUAUAUAUAUAUAUAUUUCAGGGAUUAUGAGACAAUCUCAAUCAAAUCAUUUGUAUUCAUAAGCAUUUAUUUAUAAAAUAUUUUAUUCCCUUUAUCGAUCUAUCAAUUAGCUGAAUCAAUAAAUAAUGAUUCUAAAAUUUUCUAUUUCAAUAUACCUAUAAACCAUUUCCAAUUCUUUUUGUCUUUUUUUUGGAAUGAUUGGCCCUCUAUUAUUUAUCUGAUAAAAUGGGACCACCUCUAUUAUUUCUUAUGAAAAGGGGACCACCUCUCACUUCUCAUUCAAACUGUGCAAUUCUACAGUAUUCUGAAGACUUUUCUAGUCUUGUACCUUAUCCACUACAGUUCUGCACCUUGUCUGUAUUAUUUGGAAACGUGGAUGAAUUCAUAUUUUUAAAAAGUUUAAAAACAAAAUUAAAAAAGUUAAUUUUUUUUAUGAUUUAUAUUAUUUUGAUUUGUUAAUUUUAAAAAUAAUUUUUAAAAACUAAUAAAUAUUAUUUUAAUAUAUUUUAAAAUAAAAAUAUUUUAAAAAAUAAUAACACCUACCGAAACAAAACCAUAUAUAACUGAUUCAAUAUCACAUCACAGGAAAAUGCAGCCCUUUUCAACUCUCUUUACACAAAGACAGCAAUUAAAUGGAAACAGUAAGUAUUUUAUUUAAUAAUUUUAAUACAAUGACUAGGCAGUAAAGUACAUGUACACACAGUGCGGAAGUCAUACAGAACAAUUAAGAUAGCAGACCUAAACAACUUGAAUCAGAGAGCACACAGUUUGUAUCACAGUGAGCAUGAGGAGAAUAGCAGCAGCGAUUACAGAUAUUAUGGCCCAUGGAUUACGGAACUAAUUUUGUUUCAAGCUUGCCUUCCAUUUGUGCCUCCGCUUUAUACAGUAUUUAUUCAGAUCUUCAACAAUUUCAGAAAAGUAGAAAUUGUCGAGGAAGAUGAGAUUUUCUUUGUCAAGAUUGUGGACAACACUUAAAACAGCAAUUAAUGAUUCAAGUUGGCAAAUUCCAGCUUCUGGUGUGAAGCACUAGCAUAAUGCUUUACUUUAUUAUUAUUCUUAUUAAUGACUUUUUUUCUUUAAAAAUGAGAAACAGAGGGAAAACAAUUCAGCUGAAUCCCAAUUGCCCCAUUAUUUCCAUCUUCUACAUUCAAAGCAAUUAACUUGUUUGUUUUUUAAAUGAAUAUAAGUAAUUUCUUAUCGAUCACUAGACGAUUAUGGAGCCCUGAUGACAAAUUAACCCUUAAGCUGCCCAUCAGUACAAGACUGGAGAAAAUCAAAGGUAUAACACGAGAUAACCCCUAAAAGAUGCUUCUGUUUGUUGAUAUGUGAAGUCCUCUAAUGAAAAAUGGAGCUGACAAAUUCUUGUGCAUGAAAUUCAGAUGACAGGCCUGAGUAUGCUUCAAUUCAAGUAAUACAACUGGUGUCAACUGAUUCUCUGUCAGAAUGGUCAACUCCAAUACCUGCUGCUUACAAUGAUCAUCUGGUUACCUUUUCACAAGAAUCUAGAAACCCAACCUUCUUCUUGAUCAACUCAAACCAUAUAAUUACUGUGGGAAUAAAUUAACCAUUCUCGAUCUGGCAACAAUUCUGCUCUUCAUUCAACAUCCCUGACCGUUUCCUGUCCCUUCUCCGUGAUUUUACUCUUUUGACAAAUUAAUUGCAGUUUGAUUCAUACAAUAACCAUGUUGAAGAAAAAAACUAGACAUGAAAGAAACUAGCAUUUAUUAAAACAAGGAUGUUAACUAAACAUCAAGCAUGUCUUGCAUAGAACAAUGACAUGCAAACCUGCUUAAGACAGACAUGAAGAAAACGACUGCAGGUGUCUUAUGAGCAGAAUGUUUGAACAAGAACUAAAUAGCAUAUAAAAAUAGAUUUGAAUUUUAAGGUUAUUUACUGUCAGAGAAAGUGACAUUCAAAGAUGACAAUCCAGCAGUAUCAGGACUGUUGAGUUGAUCAAGUUGCUUCUUACCACAACGAAGCAAAUAUUCAAUGUAAAUGAAAUUCUGGCGAUCUACUUGUUUGGAGUUCCGGCGGAACUCAGCUGAAACAACGGAUUCAAUCCGCCGUCGAUCUUCAGGGGACUUUGAACGAGCAGCAAUAUCAGUUGGUUAUGAAAGUAUUGGCAUUUCAUCAAACACCAAAUCGCAUUCAGAUCAGCAGCUUGAAAAAAAAAGUAGAAUCGAAAAAACAAUGCAGAAGCAAUCUUAGACCAGAUCAAUGAACUGGGACCUUGACAUUUUUACUAAAGAACUAGGAAAUCACCAAUGAACAUGUAUUUCUAAGAAAAUGAUUGCCGAAAAAAAAUCCUACAACAUUAUUUAUAUAAUUAUUAAGAACAAAAACAAUUAAAAAAAAACAAAUAUAGUGAGAGAAAGAAACAUGAAAAAAGAAGAAAAAAAAAGAUGAUAGAUUGAACCAGAGAACAUAGUCCCAUUAGGAGGAGUAUACAGAGACUCCAUGAGCUUCCCAUCAAGCAAAGAAUUCCUGAUAUGGUCAUUGGUUCAUGGCGUCGGCGAAGCUGCUUGCCAAAUUGUUUGCAAAAGAAAGAAAUUGUUUCCAUAAAAAAAGCAUUAACCCAAGGAUAACUAUACGAGAGCAUGAUGGUAAAUAAUAAUAUAAAUUAUAUUUUAGAAUUUUACCUAAUAGUUUAAGUUAUUAGAUUUAGAUGGUUCUUUAAUAUUGUAUAAGAAUCUUGACGACCAAGUGAUCAUGAGUUCGAAUCUUAUCAUCUUUAUUUAUUUGAUAAAAAUUAAAUAUAAGGUAAUGUAAGCUUCUAGAAAUUUCAAGCACAAAAAGUUUUUACUUGAGAGAUAUAUUGGGUUGGAAAUUUUAAGUGUAUGUUUCAAUGUCGUAUAGGCAUCAAAGAAACCUAAACGAAGCUGAAAAUUUUGCUAUCAGGAAAGCAAAUUUGUUUCUGCUACACGUAGUUCUUACGAACUAAGACUAGAAGGUUUUAUAGAUGGUGUUAUAUUACAUUAUAUUGUUUCUAAUCUCUGUAUAUGGAAAGUUUGAGAAUACCAACUUGGACGUAUUUAAAAGGUGCUGAGGCAGCGAUUAAUGAUUCAAGUUUGCAAAUUCCAGCUUCAGGUGUGAAGCACAAGCAUAAUGCUUUACUUUAUUAUUAUUAUUAUUAUUAUUAUUAUUAUUUGCUGGUCAAAUUCUUGUGCAUGAAAUUCAGAUGACAGGCCUGAGUAUGCUUCAAUUCAAGCAAUACUUUAUGGCCCAUAGGCCUUAUCUAUUUGCUGGUCAUACAACUCCAAUACCUGCUGCUUACAAUUUACAAUGAUCAUCUGGUUACCUUUCACAAAAAUCUAGAAACCCAACCCUCUUCUUGUCAACUCAAACCAUAUAAUUACUGUUGGGAAAUUAACCAUUCUCGAUCUGGCAACAAUUCUGCUCUUCAUUCAACAUCCCUGACCGUUUCCUGUCCCUUCUCCGUGAUUUUACUAUUUUGACAAAUUGAUUGCAGUUUGAUUCAUACAAUAACCAUGUUGAAGAAAAAAACUAGACAUGAAAGAAACUGACAUUUAUUAAAACAAGGAUGUUAACUUAAACAUCAAGCAUGUCUUGCAUAGAACAAUGACAUGCAAACCUGCUUUAGACAGACCUGAAGAAAAUGAUUGCUGGUGUCUUAUGAGCAGAAUUGUUUGAACAAGAACUAAAUAGCAUAUAAAAAUAGAUUUGAAUUUUAAGGUUAUUUAGUUUCAGAGAAAGUGACAUUCAAAGAUGACAAUCCAGCAGUAUUCAAUGUAAAUGAAAUUCUGGCGAUCUACUUGUUAGGAGUUCCGGCGGAACUACUUGAAGUAUAGAGCAGACGGAUUGUAUGACAGUCAGAAUGAGAAGAAUAACAGCUCCUGAGACAGAGACUGCAGCCCAUGGGGUAUUGAAAUAAUUUUGCUUUAAAUUUGCCUUCCAUUUGUUCCAUGGCCUUUCGCAGAAUGCAUUCAGAUCUAUAAUGAGACCUUGAAAGAGAAAAGUACGUGACCACACACUAUUUUGUUUGUUGAGAUUGUAAAAGAGUUGUACCACUUCCUCAUUAGACGGUAGCCAGUUUUCUAUAAUACGAUUUUCAACAAGCAUUUCCACAUCCUUACUGGCACUGCUCAAAGGCUUGCAUAUUCCUGAUUAUGAUUUCUGUUCUGUCAUCUAACUGUAAGCGUGGGAACUCUAGUCUCCCUUUAUUUCUAUCGAAUUUUAUGUCAAGAAGAUUUUUGCUUGAACUCAACACAAACUUGACCCCCGCUUGGUGGAGCUCCUUUACACUGGGUAAGGCUAAUACUUCGAGUUU
rnacentral:lncRNA from 1 species